rnacentral:rRNA from 1 species
UACGUAGGGUGCAAGCGUUAAUCGGAAUUGCUGGGCGUAAAGCGUGCGCAGGCGGUUAUGUAAGACAGGUGUGAAAUCCCCGGGCUUAACCUGGGAACUGCAUUUGUGACUGCAUAGCUAGAGUACGGUAGAGGGGGAUGGAAUUCCGCGUGUAGCAGUGAAAUGCGUAGAUAUGCGGAGGAACACCGAUGGCGAAGGCAAUCCCCUGGACCUGUACUGACGCUCAUGCACGAAAGCGUGGGGAGCAAACAGG